UACGAAGGGUGCAAACGUUGCUCGGAAUUAUUGGGCGUAAAGCGCACGUAGGCGGCUUGGCAAGUCGGAUGUGAAAUCCCUCGGCUCAACCAAGGAAGUGCAUCCGAAACUGCCGAGCUUGAGUACUUAAGAGGAUCGCGGAAUUCCCGGUGUAGAGGUGAAAUUCGUAGAUAUCGGGAGGAACACCAGUGGCGAAGGCGGCGAUCUGGGAAGAUACUGACGCUGAGGUG
rnacentral:rRNA from 1 species